rnacentral:lncRNA from 1 species
CUUAUGUAACGAUGCACAUUUGAAGUAUUUCCUACCCAUCUCUGCUACACACCGAUAUCGAGUUCCCCAGAACUCGUCCAUCCAAUAACACAACAUUUAUGGACAAGCCACGACAUAGAUGCCGAAAAGGCCACAUAACACAUUGUGGACAAGCCACAACAUAAUUGUUGAUAAUGACCACAUAAUUGCAAUUAAGCUGUCACACAACUUCCUCAUUUCACAA